AAAAUGAACAUCCGAGCCAAGGUGCUUUUUACAUAUCGACCCUCCAUCGCGAGCCACUUGAAAUCCUCACGGCCUGUGGACUUUUUCACAGCGCGACUCUCACCGCCUUUAGGUCCUUUGCUUGACCGGGUCGUUGACGAGCAACAUGCCGAAGAGGAAGUCUCCUGAGGGCCCUGAGGGCAAGGAGGGAUCAAAGGUGACAAAACAAGAGCCCACCAGAAAGUCAGAGAGAUUGUCACUGAAACCUGCACCACCAAAGCCAGAGGCCAAACCUAAGAAGGUCGUCAUCAAGAAGGUGUCGGAUGAAAAAGCGGUGAAGGCCAAGAAAAGCACCACCAAGGGGAAGGACGGCCCGGCCCAGAAUGGAGACGCCAAGACUAAUGAGAUCUUUGUGUGUCGUCCGUCUGUCAGUGUGUCUUCCACCAGAAGCGCAGCGCCCUCCUUGAUGUCAGUGCGAGGGCAGAGCGAGACAGUCAGAGUGAAGGGUACGGCCGAGUCCUCCUAACCCACCUUUGUGUGCCACUAACUCUUUGCUAGAACUCCCAUUAUCAGAACGAUGCUGACGAGGGCAAGUGAAUCGGCCAAGGAGGCGACGGAAGGGAAGGAGUGAAGUCAACAGAUUUGUUCAUUUGUUCUUCACUUGUUCCGCCUUCUGUUCCACGGCAGCAAAAGUUGUUUUCUUUCUUACUAUUUUUUGUACCAUGCUGAUUUUGGUCGACUUGUGGUAGAGAUGAAGGACCAGCAUCCUUAAACCCCGUUCAUGGCUGCAUCUAGCGGCAUGUGUUUCUUCUCUGGAUGAUUAGACAGCUGCAGAUGUUCUUCAUCUUCAUCCCCUUUCCUAGUGUUGUUCCCCUUCUUACAGCUCCUUCAUCGCCCAAUCAUCUUGUCCCUUGUCUCACUGCAUACUAUGUUGGAUAUGUAUGGACGGAUGAUUGCACAAUUUCACUUGUACUUCUGUAUAAGUGACAAGAAUAAAGGCUCGUUCAUUCAUUCGUUCAUUCAUUCAUUCAUCUUCGCCUUUUGUUUAUCCGGGAGGACACCCGCUUACUUGCAGAGCGCUGAGGGAAGGGAAAGAUGGAGAACAUGUGCAGCAUUUUUAUAGUUUGUGGUUUUUAGAACGGCCCUUAGCACCUUUUCUAUAACCCCCCACACCCCGCACAGUGACAUAGCAAUAAGCAGUGGUGCUUGUGUUCAUCACUGGGAGACUCAUUCUGUUGGCAGAAUAUUUUCAAAUAAAAGAAAAAGUUGA